UACGUAGGGUGCAAGCGUUAAUCGGAAUUACUGGGCGUAAAGCGUGCGCAGGCGGUUCUAUAAGGCAGAUGUGAAAUCCCCGGGCUCAACCUGGGAACUGCAUUUGUGACUGUAGAGCUGGAGUACGGCAGAGGGGGAUGGAAUUCCGCGUGUAGCAGUGAAAUGCGUAGAUAUCAGGAGGAAUACCGAUGGCGAAGGCAGGUCUCUGGGCUGAUACUGACGCUCAUGCACGAAAGCGUGGGGAGCAAACAGG
rnacentral:rRNA from 1 species